rnacentral:rRNA from 1 species
CAAGCUCCGUAGAAAGCUUCGCUCGCGAUCUUGCCUCAGCUUUGGAUUGGCGCCCCGAGGCAGGCGGUACCGACUAGAAGGGUACCGUCACUGGGAUGAGACCCUCCAAGCCUACGAGCUGCAUUGGGAUACUGCCAAUGGCGAAAGCUGAUGCAGCACGCCGCUGAGGAUGACGCCUCAGCUGUACUAUUUAGUAGGGACGAGCGAAAGUGACGUACUGCAGAAAAGCACGCUACUACGUGCAGCAGCGCGUAAUACGUAGGCUGCAAGCGUCGUCCGGAUUAUCGGCGUAAAGAGCUCGUAGGCGGUUUGUCGCGUUGCUGUGAAAUCCCGAGGCUCAACCUCGGGCUUGCAGUGGGUACGGGCAGACUAGAGUGCGGUAGGGGAGAUUGGAAUUCCUGGUGUAGCGGUGGAAUGCGCAGAUAUCAGGAGGAACACCGAUGGCGAAGGCAGAUCUCUGGGCCGUAACUGACACUGAGGAGCGAAAGCAUGGGGAGCGAACAGGAUUAGAUACCCUGGUAGUCCAUGCCGUAAACGUUGGGCGCUAGAUGUAGGGACCUUUCCACGGUUUCUGUGUCGUAGCUAACGCAUUAAGCGCCCCGCCUGGGGAGUACGGCCGCAAGGCUAAAACUCAAAGGAAUUGACGGGGGCCCGCACAAGCGGCGGAGCAUGCGGAUUAAUUCGAUGCAACGCGAAGAACCUUACCAAGGCUUGACAUACACCGGAAACGGCCAGAGAUGGUCGCCCCCUUGUGGUCGGUGUACAGGUGGUGCAUGGUUGUCGUCAGCUCGUGUCGUGAGAUGUUGGGUUAAGUCCCGCAACGAGCGCAACCCUCGUUCUAUGUUGCCAGCGGGUUAUGCCGGGGACUCAUAGGAGACUGCCGGGGUCAACUCGGAGGAAGGUGGGGAUGACGUCAAAUCAUCAUGCCCCUUAUGUCUUGGGCUUCACGCAUGCUACAAUGGCCGGUACAAAGGGCUGCGAUACCGUAAGGUGGAGCGAAUCCCAAAAAGCCGGUCUCAGUUCGGAUUGAGGUCUGCAACUCGACCUCAUGAAGUCGGAGUCGCUAGUAAUCGCAGAUCAGCAACGCUGCGGUGAAUACGUUCCCGGGCCUUGUACACACCGCCCGUCAAGUCAUGAAAGUCGGUAACCCCCGAAGCCGGUGGCCUAACCCUUGCGGAAGGAGCCGUCGAAGGUGGAUCGUAAUGUU